rnacentral:rRNA from 1 species
GGGAAACUGCCUGAUGGAGGGGGAUAACCACUGGAAACGGUGGCUAAUACCGCAUAACGUCGCAAGACCAAAGAGGGGGACCUUCGGGCCUCUCACUAUCGGAUGAACCCAGAUGGGAUUAGCUAGUAGGCGGGGUAAUGGCCCACCUAGGCGACGAUCCCUAGCUGGUCUGAGAGGAUGACCAGCCACACUGGAACUGAGACACGGUCCAGACUCCUACGGGAGGCAGCAGUGGGGAAUAUUGCACAAUGGGCGCAAGCCUGAUGCAGCCAUGCCGCGUGUAUGAAGAAGGCCUUAGGGUUGUAAAGUACUUUUGUUAGGGAAGAAAAGGCAUUUGCUAAUACCAGAUGCUGUUGACGGUACCUAAAGAAUAAGCACCGGCUAACUACGUGCCAGCAGCCGCGGUAAUACGUAGGGCGCGAGCGUUGUCCGGAAUUAUUGGGCGUAAAGCGCGCGCAGGCGGCUUUUUAAGUCCGGUGUCACAGCCCAAGGCUCAACCUUGGGUCGCACUGGAAACUGGAGAGCUUGAGUACAGAAGAGGAAAGUGGAAUUCCAGGUGUAGCGGUGAAAUGCGUAGAGAUGUGGAGGAAUACCGAAGGCGAAGGCA